AGCUGACCUCUCUGUGCCUUUGCUGAGCCCCGAUCCAGCCUUGAGAGCUGUUGUCACAGAACUUGUUAGUCCAUCUGCGGCUGCCAACCUGGAUCCCAGGCCACAACAGAGAUGUCAGCACUCACCCGUCAAGUGAGAGAGCCUAUGUGACACUUCUGCCCCACUUCCUUGGGACUUGACCUGGCAGCACUUCUCUUUGUGAGUGUAUCUGGGGAAGGACGUACACAUGUGAGAACGGCCCCUGGCUGACCAGCUGCACGGCUGUUGCCUCUUCUGCCCUUCAGACAGUGAUGUCCGUACUGUGUAAUGUGCAAGGAGGGAUAGUGAGUAGUGAUGAGUAAGACCUCUUAAGAGGCAACUGUUAUGCUAGCAGAGGUUAAUUCUAAGGGUCCCUGCCAGGUCUGAGACUACAGUCUACACUUUCAGUUCGUUUUGAGGUUGCAGGGUUUAGUUUUCCAAUCUGCCUAAUCCAUUUACAUAGGAGUUUACUGUAGAGACUAAUUUUGUACCUACAAAACACCCACUUAUGUUCAGAUUACAGGAGCAGUGUAUGGUACCUUGUCAGGAGAACCUAUAAGGCCUUAAUUUUCAGAGAAUCUUUGUAUUUUGUUGUGACACUGGUUCAGGCUCAAACAUUUCCAAUUUCAGUAAACCAAUUUUACUACUGAGGCAUUUAGGUGUUCUCAUGUAGAUACAUAUCUGCUUGGACAACCUUUUACAGGCAAUAAACACAUUUCUGUGUUAUGCUUUC